rnacentral:rRNA from 1 species
ACGAACGCUGGCGGCGUGCUUAACACAUGCAAGUCGAACGGAAAGGCCCUGCUUUUGUGGGGUGCUCGAGUGGCGAACGGGUGAGUAACUCGUGAGUAACCUGCCCUUGACUUUGGGAUAACUUCAGGAAACUGGGGCUAAUACCGGAUAGGAGCUCCUGCUGCAUGGUGGGGGUUGGAAAGUUUCGGCGGUUGGGGAUGGACUCGCGGCUUAUCAGCUUGUUGGUGGGGUAGUGGCUUACCAAGGCUUUGACGGGUAGCCGGCCUGAGAGGGUGACCGGCCACAUUGGGACUGAGAUACGGCCCAGACUCCUACGGGAGGCAGCAGUGGGGAAUAUUGCACAAUGGGCGGAAGCCUGAUGCAGCAACGCCGCGUGCGGGAUGACGGCCUUCGGGUUGUAAACCGCUUUCGCCUGUGACGAAGCGUGAGUGACGGUAAUGGGUAAAGAAGCACCGGCUAACUACGUG